rnacentral:lncRNA from 12 species
UGGGAUAGCAACCUACUGACAAAUUCACACGGGGGUAUAACUUAUUGAUAUGUCUCUUUCCAGAAAAUAGGGGUCUAUUAAAAGAGAGAGCAAGAGCGAGUGAUGAGAGUACUGAUGUCUGAAGAAAAGAAUAGAAAAAUAGAAGGAGGAUAUGCAUAAAAGAAGAGAACUGAGUCCAUCAAAACUGGACCCAGAGAAAAGUCAAUGCAAGUGAAGUCUGGGGAGGGAAAUUGGAGGAACGAGAGCCUGAUAUGAUAGUGCUUUUGCUCACCGGACUGCUAACGACCUCUCUGUGGAUGUAGGAGGCAGACCCAGAGGCAAAGGAGAACCAAAGAUUAUUUUGUCACAGUCAACUCUCUCAAGUCUAGUUAGAAGAUGUACUGGAUUUGGAGUUCCAGUUCUUGCAUAUGGAUUCCAACAUGACCCAGUUCUUUCCAGGGCUUGCCUGCCAAGGCUGGGAAGGGUGGAGUGAGGAAGAAGACUUGAAGACAUACUUUGGAGAGAGACAGAGAGACACAGAAACUCAACAAAAUUUCAAGUAGAGCAGCUCCUUCUACCUCUUAAGAAUCAAGCAUUUGGGACAUUUCCAGCUGAAAGAGACCCAAAGAUCGCCUCAUCCACCAGGUGUGCAGGGGAACAAACAUGACAGCCAGAGACACUGUGACUUGCUUAGACAAUAUCACAGCCAAAAUCUUCUGACUAGAGCAACACAGAGACCACAUUAAGUCUUUCUGUGAAAAUAAACGUGCCAGUGCAUCUUUUUCUCUGUAAAUA